rnacentral:lncRNA from 13 species
GACGUAUGGAUAUGGCGACAUGAUAACGAGCAAUAACGAGUAGACGGAACCUGAUUUAUACUUGUUUUGUCUGACAGAGAGAGAGCGUUUGAAAACUUUGUUGCAAGCUUACCAAGUUUACUCCUGAAACCAAGCAUAGAUGACGUCGUAAUUCGUAUGAUCAGUCAUAUAGUUGUACGUUUUAAAGAAUGGAUCCGGGAAGAAUUGGUGGCUAAGCACGAAUCUAUUAUCGACAAUGCUAACAAAAUCGAUAUUGUAGGUUCACAUGAUGAUAAACAAUCGAGACUUAUGAUUUGUAAUCUAUUUUACUUUAUAGAUUCACAUGUUUAUUAUUAAAUAAUAAAUCAAUCAGCUUCAUGACUUGGAUGUAUCGUGCCCUGAGAAUGUGAGACGAGCGCGAAAGUGAAAACGAGAAAAAUUAUUUAUGUCUCGAUGUACGUUAAAGUAUUCUGUCACGUGAGCGCUGCUCUUUUUCUCAAAAGGACAAAGAUACGUAAAA